rnacentral:rRNA from 1 species
AUUGCCUCAGUAACGGCGAGUGAAGCGGCAACAGCUCAAAUUUGAAAUCUGGCCGCAAGGUCCGAGUUGUAAUUUGUAGAGGAUGCUUUUGGCGAGGUGCCUUCCGAGUUCCCUGGAACGGGACGCCAUAGAGGGUGAGAGCCCCGUACGGUAGGACCACCAAGCCUCUGUAAAGCUCCUUCGACGAGUCGAGUAGUUUGGGAAUGCUGCUCUAAAUGGGAGGUGUACGUCUUCUAAAGCUAAAUACCGGCCAGAGACCGAUAGCGCACAAGUAGAGUGAUCGAAAGAUGAAAAGCACUUUGAAAAGAGGGUUAAAAAGUACGUGAAAUUGUUGAAAGGGAAGCAUUCAUGACCAGACUUGGGCUUGGUUGAACAUCCGGCGUUCUCGCCGGUGCACUCUGCCAGUCCAGGCCAGCAUCAGUUUGCCCCGGGGGAUAAAGGCGGCGGGAAUGUGGCUCCCUUCGGGGAGUGUUAUAGCCCGUCGUGUAAUGCCCUGGGGCGGACUGAGGAACGCGCUUCGGCACGGAUGCUGGCGUAAUGGUCAUCAAUGACCCGUCUUGAAACACGGACCAAGGAGUCGUCUUCGUAUGCGAGUGUUCGGGUGUCAAACCCCUACGCGUAAUGAAAGUGAACGUAGGUGAGAGCUUCGGCGCAUCACCGACCGAUCCUGAUGUUCUCGGAUGGAUUUGAGUAAGAGCAUACGGGGCCGGACCCGAAAGAAGGUGAACUAUGCCUGUAUAGGGUGAAGCCAGAGGAAACUCUGGUGGAGGCUCGCAGCGGUUCUGACGUGCAAAUCGAUCGUCAAAUAUGGGCAUGGGGGCGAAAGACUAAUCGAACCUUCUAGUAGCUGGUUUCCGCCGAA